rnacentral:lncRNA from 1 species
CCCUCCCUUGUGCACCAUUUGAGUGGAUAAAGAUUGAUUAGUUGGCCAUUCAAAUUCAAAUGAUGUUUGAAUUUGAAUGAGCAACUAAUCCCAUGCGCCACCUUAUCCACUUGUGCGCCACUUGCUCUACACGAGAAAAAGUUUCUCAUGUAAACUCUCCAUGCACAAAGAACCCACACCCCUUCUCUUCUCACACCUUGAGUGGAUAAGGAUAGGUUGGUUGGCAUUUGAAUUCAAAUUCGAUUUGAAUUCAAGUGAGCAACCACCUAGCUUUAUCCUCUCACGCGGUGAAAAUGCUGAAAAGAUGCGAUCUUGCACCAUUUUAAAAUGAGAGAGAAGGUGGGG